GUGCAAAGCAGCAAAGAAUGACAAAAGGCUGAGCUCAGUAACGCACCUCAUCGUUCCUACCAAGAGUGCCUGGAGUUCUGCAAAGUGAAAAACACAUCACCAGACAUAACCUCCUUCCACUUCUGUUCCCCUUCUCAAACAGCAUCAACUGCAACAAUGGAUUCUAAUUCAGUGUUCCAGAACAGCCACCCAUUGAUUCCAACACUCCAUUAAAUUCUCCCUGGGAGCUGUUCCUCCGGGGGGGCCGCCAA